rnacentral:rRNA from 1 species
AGGACGAACGCUGGCGGCGCGCUUAAUACAUGCAAGUCGAACGAGAAGCCAGAGCUUGCUCUGGUGGAAAGUGGCGAACGGGUGAGUAACACGUGAGAAACCUGCCCCAAAGAUUGGGAUAAGCCUUGGAAACGAGGUCUAAUACCAAAUACCUUCCUUUUAACACAUGUUAAAAAGAAGAAAUGCUCCGGCGCUUUGGGAUGGUCUCGCGAUCUAUCAGCUUGUUGGUGAGGUAACGGCUCACCAAGGCAUCGACGGAUAGCUGGUCUGAGAGGAUGUCCAGCCACAUUGGAACUGAGACACGGUCCAAACUCCUACGGGAGGCAGCAGUAGGGAAUCUUGCACAAUGAGGGAAACCUUGAUGCAGCGACGCCGCGUGCGGGACGAAGGCCCUAGGGUUGUAAACCGCUUUCAGUAGGGACGAAAGUGACGGUACCUACAGAAGAAGCCCCGGCCAACUAUGUG